ensembl:lncRNA LINC00665 long intergenic non-protein coding RNA 665
GCCCUCCCAUUUCCGGAAGCCUGGCGCAAGGUUGGUCUGCAGGUGGCCUCCAGGUGCAAAGUGGGAAGUGUGAGUCCUCAGUCUUGGGCUAUUCGGCCACGUGCCUGCCGGACAUGGGACGCUGGAGGGUCAGCAGCGUGGAGUCCUGGCCUUUUGCGUCCACGGGUGGGAAAUUGGCCAUUGCCACGGCGGGAACUGGGACUCAGGCUGCCCCCCGGCCGUUUCUCAUCCGUCCACCGGACUCGUGGGCGCUCGCACUGGCGCUGAUGUAGUUUCCUGACCUCUGACCCGUAUUGUCUCCAGAUUAAAGGUACGACAUUUGGAGGCCCCAGCGAGAAACGUCACCGGGAGAAACGUCACCGGGCGAGAGCCGGGCCCGCUGUGUGCUCCCCCGGAAGGACAGCCAGCUUGUAGGGGGGAGUGCCACCUGAAAAAAAAAUUUCCAGGUCCCCAAAGGGUGACCGUCUUCCGGAGGACAGCGGAUCGACUACCAUGUGGGUGCCCACAAAAAUUCCACCUCUGAGUCCUCAACUGCUGACCCCGGGGUCAGGAACUGUUGGAAACUACUGAAACUGGCCGACCUGAUCUUCAAAAUGUGCCCCUAGGAAAGGUGGAUGCCACCGUGUUCACAGACAGUAGCAGCUUCCUCGAGAAGGGACUACGAAAGGCCGGUGCAGCUGUUACCAUGGAGACAGAUGUGUUGUGGGCUCAGGCUUUACCAGCAAACACCUCAGCACAAAAGGCUGAAUUGAUCGCCCUCACUCAGGCUCUCCGAUGGGGUAAGGAUAUUAACGUUAACACUGACAGCAGGUACGCCUUUGCUACUGUGCAUGUACGUGGAGCCAUCUACCAGGAGCGUGGGCUACUCACCUCAGCAGGUGGCUGUAAUCCACUGUAAAGGACAUCAAAAGGAAAACACGGCUGUUGCCCGUGGUAACCAGAAAGCUGAUUCAGCAGCUCAAGAUGCAGUGUGACUUUCAGUCACGCCUCUAAACUUGCUGCCCACAGUCUCCUUUCCACAGCCAGAUCUGCCUGACAAUCCCGCAUACUCAACAGAAGAAGAAAACUGGCCUCAGAACUCAGAGCCAAUAAAAAUCAGGAAGGUUGGUGGAUUCUUCCUGACUCUAGAAUCUUCAUACCCCGAACUCUUGGGAAAACUUUAAUCAGUCACCUACAGUCUACCACCCAUUUAGGAGGAGCAAAGCUACCUCAGCUCCUCCGGAGCCGUUUUAAGAUCCCCCAUCUUCAAAGCCUAACAGAUCAAGCAGCUCUCCGGUGCACAACCUGCGCCCAGGUAAAUGCCAAAAAAGGUCCUAAACCCAGCCCAGGCCACCGUCUCCAAGAAAACUCACCAGGAGAAAAGUGGGAAAUUGACUUUACAGAAGUAAAACCACACCGGGCUGGGUACAAAUACCUUCUAGUACUGGUAGACACCUUCUCUGGAUGGACUGAAGCAUUUGCUACCAAAAACGAAACUGUCAAUAUGGUAGUUAAGUUUUUACUCAAUGAAAUCAUCCCUCGACAUGGGCUGCCUGUUGCCAUAGGGUCUGAUAAUGGACCGGCCUUCGCCUUGUCUAUAGUUUAGUCAGUCAGUAAGGCGUUAAACAUUCAAUGGAAGCUCCAUUGUGCCUAUCGACCCCAGAGCUCUGGGCAAGUAGAACGCAUGAACUGCACCCUAAAAAACACUCUUACAAAAUUAAUCUUAGAAACCGGUGUAAAUUGUGUAAGUCUCCUUCCUUUAGCCCUACUUAGAGUAAGGUGCACCCCUUACUGGGCUGGGUUCUUACCUUUUGAAAUCAUGUAUGGGAGGGCGCUGCCUAUCUUGCCUAAGCUAAGAGAUGCCCAAUUGGCAAAAAUAUCACAAACUAAUUUAUUACAGUACCUACAGUCUCCCCAACAGGUACAAGAUAUCAUCCUGCCACUUGUUCGAGGAACCCAUCCCAAUCCAAUUCCUGAACAGACAGGGCCCUGCCAUUCAUUCCCGCCAGGUGACCUGUUGUUUGUUAAAAAGUUCCAGAGAGAAGGACUCCCUCCUGCUUGGAAGAGACCUCACACCGUCAUCACGAUGCCAACGGCUCUGAAGGUGGAUGGCAUUCCUGCGUGGAUUCAUCACUCCCGCAUCAAAAAGGCCAACGGAGCCCAACUAGAAACAUGGGUCCCCAGGGCUGGGUCAGGCCCCUUAAAACUGCACCUAAGUUGGGUGAAGCCAUUAGAUUAAUUCUUUUUCUUAAUUUUGUAAAACAAUGCAUAGCUUCUGUCAAACUUAUGUAUCUUAAGACUCAAUAUAACCCCCUUGUUAUAACUGAGGAAUCAAUGAUUUGAUUCCCCAAAAACACAAGUGGGGAAUGUAGUGUCCAACCUGGUUUUUACUAACCCUGUUUUUAGACUCUCCCUUUCCUUUAAUCACUCAGCCUUGUUUCCACCUGAAUUGACUCUCCCUUAGCUAAGAGCGCCAGAUGGACUCCAUCUUGGCUCUUUCACUGGCAGCCGCUUCCUCAAGGACUUAACUUGUGCAAGCUGACUCCCAGCACAUCCAAGAAUGCAAUUAACUGAUAAGAUACUGUGGCAAGCUAUAUCCGCAGUUCCCAGGAAUUCGUCCAAUUGAUUACACCCAAAAGCCCCGCGUCUAUCACCUUGUAAUAAUCUUAAAGCCCCUGCACCUGGAACUAUUAACGUUCCUGUAACCAUUUAUCCUUUUAACUUUUUUGCCUACUUUAUUUCUGUAAAAUUGUUUUAACUAGACCCCCCCUCUCCUUUCUAAACCAAAGUAUAAAAGCAAAUCUAGCCCCUUCUUCAGGCCGAGAGAAUUUCGAGCGUUAGCCGUCUCUUGGCCACCAGCUAAAUAAACGGAUUCUUCAUGUGUCUCAA